GCGGUAGGGUUCAGCGUAAAAAAAAAAAAAAAUCUGAUGGGAAAUGAAAACCUCAUUAAAAAACAAAACAAAAAACUAAUCAUUUAAAUCAGGUGCGGCCCAGUGCAGAGGGACCGGGUUCAAUUCCAGCUCCGGACUCCCUGUGUGGAAUUUGCAUGUUCUCCCCGGGCCUGCGUGGGUUUUCUCCGGGUACUCCGGUUUCCUCCCACAUUCCAAAAACGUGCAUGGCAGCCUGAUUGAACACUCAAAAUUGUCCCGCGGUGUGAGUGUGACCGUGGAUGGUUGUUUGUCUCGGUGUGCCCUGCGAUUGGCUGGCAACCGGUUCAGGGUGUCCCCCGCCUACUGCCCAAAGACAGCUGAGAUAGGCUCCAGCACAUUUCGGUCCAAAUUUUAGCAAGUUGACACACAUGGUUUGCUUUCGCGGACCACAUAAAAUGACCCAGCUGGCCGGAUUUGGCCCACGGGCCUUGAGUUUGACACAUGUGAUUUAGAUCCUAUUGUGUUUGAAUUCUUGCUUUGUUAUACCAGUGGCUGGUAAAAGAGGCAAAAGUGGCGUGUUCGAGAGCAGCAUGCAGGUUAUAUGGCUGCAAGAGGCAGCCCAGCCUCGCCAGGCCUCCCUUCCACCUCUUUUAAAUCCCCGUCCGUCCCUGAACUGUGACCCAUCAAGUCGUCCGGGGCCUUAAACCCAAGCGACACGCCCCCCACCUCUUGCAUCCGAAUCAAGGGCAAAGUGGAGCAUCUGCUGUGCAUCCAAUCGCUUAUAAAAUAUUCAGGGCAAAGGAAAGGAACAGACCCCCACAAUAUCCAGAAAUGUAUUUCUGACUGACUUGGGUGGGCGGGGUGUGUGAUUGGGCGGUUUGGGCCACAGCACAAAGCAGCGAAGCAGAUUGCAAAUGUUUCGUCAACACGGGAUUAAACGGGAUCAUCCGAUUCAAAGCAAACGCACAGACGUUAAUCUUCUUUUUUCACCAAACAAGGUUACGGUCCAACUUUUACUCGAGAUCUCCUUAAAAUGCGUCCGUUCCACCACGAAUGAGAGUUGUUUUUUUUUUUUUUUUCCAGUCGUCUUGACCAUUUGGCAGGAUUUCUCAUUUCAGUUACACACUCACAAGAAAGCAGCGCUCGCUUGGUCACCCUUUCCCUGCUGCCCCAAACUGUUUUUAAUCAUUAAUGGCGCUUCCUGCUUCUUGUCUGCUUGAGCAAGAUUGCAUGUCACCUGAAAUGAAAGCAAGCGCCCCCCCCCCCCUUCCUCCCCGCACUUCCUACACAAAUAAUGAUAACCUGUAACAUGAUAAGCUGUCCACUGUAGUAACCGCGGUCCCCAAAAGGGUUAAUGUUGAUUUUUUUUUUUUAAUUCCCUUCACCACAAAUCAACAUGCCCUGCACAUCAACUCGCAGCCCCCAAACACAUUUCGCCCACUUUCCGUUGCACGAUCCGAGUUGGAAUACAACUCGCUAUGCAAUCAUCAACCGCGAUAUUAACCAGCCUCAAAUCCAAUGAGCCCAAAUUUCAGCGCUUCAGCUUUUGAUUGACACUUAGAAUCGUUUUCAUGGAAAUCGAGACAAAUCAUCCACCCCCUACCCCAUCCCCUUCUCCCUCUCCGGAAUGACGUCACACUGCCCUCUGUUUGUUUCCUCUUGACUGGCAGCAUGACUCAUGCAAUAAUGAAAGGCAGCUAAAAUUUCCUGUUGCAUUAUAGACCAAAUAUUUGCCCCCAAAUCCAAUAUCACACAAACGACACCCAUUUCUACACUCACCCUUUGUGUGUCAUUUACACCACAAGGUACCCUCGACUCCACAGAAAACAAAAACUUUGUUGCGAAGGAAUCAUUCCCGGCCAGCCUUCCCGAUGGGGCUUAUCGGCGACGACGGCAUCAGACUCGGAUCCCAGACGCCAACAGGCCUGCCGGGACUGGAUCCUUUGGGCUGCUUACCGGAAUCAUCCAAACACGGCGGCAACAUUUCUGCUCAUGGAAAGUUUGGUUGCUGGUUUUAAGCUUUUAUCAGCAUCACCCUCAUGGCGACGGAAUCUGUUUCUUUGCUUUCAGCGCGCCUCUUCCAGACGAGUCACAGCGGCUGUGGGAGGGAUGCAAGCCUCGAGAGGAGGCUCAAGUUCGAGUAAUUGAAGUUUCAGAUUGUUGGACUGCUUCACGGCAUGAAUUUAGUGGCCGCGUGUUUGUAUCAAACCGAACUUGUCGUACUCGUUUUAUUUUUCCUUAUUCCUCAUCCGCCUUUACAUUUCAGGGCCCUAAUUUGGGAAAGAGUGCAAAUUUAGCGCAAAAGCACAGUGCAAAAUUUCGGUAGUUUAAGCAGACGGGCCGUUUACGCCGUUGUGGGAGUGAACACAGCGAACUUGAGUGGUGGAAAUGUGACAUUUAACAAUGUUAUCUUAGAAGUAGCUGUUCACUUGCGUCGCACAUCCUGGUGUCAAACAACCUCAACUGCGAUCGAAAGUCAUUAUUUUGCAACAUCAGCCACACGAUGACCUCGUUUUCUUAACCUUGAUUCAUCAGAACCAAACCAUUCGCGAUAUUUGAACAGCGCACGAGCAUAUCAAAAUGCGAUGUAACUUCAUGUGAACUAAAAGGGUCAUCAAAUAAAAAGUGAAUUACAAAAAAAA